rnacentral:rRNA from 1 species
GACGAACGCUGGCGGCGUGCUUAACACAUGCAAGUCGAACGGAAAGGCCUGCUUUCCCUUGUGGAUUGCGGGUACUCGAGUGGCGAACGGGUGAGUAACACGUGAGUGAUCUGCCCCCAACUUGGGUAUAAGCCUGGGAAACUGGGUCUAAUUCCCGAUAGGACUGCAGGGUGGUGCCUGUGGUGGAAAACGAUUUUCUAGUGGUUGGGGAUGAGCUCGCGGCCUAUCAGCUUGUUGGUGGGGUAAUGGCCUACCAAGGCGGCGACGGGUAGCCGGCCUGAGAGGGUGGACGGCCAAAUUGGGACUGAGAUACGGCCCAGACUCCUACGGGAGGCAGCAGUGGGGAAUAUUGCACAAUGGGCGGAAGCCUGAUGCAGCGACGCCGCGUGGGGGAUGACGGCCUUCGGGUUGUAAACUCCUUUCGACCGCGAGGAAGCCACCUGGUUGGAAGGGUGGUGACGGUAGUGGUAGAAGAAGCACCGGCUAACUACGU